GAUGUAGUGGCAUAGUCUGAGCAUUGGACUAUGACUCUGGAGUUCAGGGUUCAAAUCCCUGCUCAGCCA